rnacentral:rRNA from 1 species
CCUACGGGUGGCUGCAGUGAGGAAUAUUGGUCAAUGGCCGGAAGGCUGAACCAGCCAUGCCGCGUGAAGGUCAGUGCCCUAUGGGCGUUAAACUUCUUUUGUGCGGGAGCAAUAAUGGUCACGUGUGGCCAGACGAGAGUACCGUACGAAUAAGCAUCGGCUAACUCCGUGCCAGCAGCCGCGGUAAUACGGGGGAUGCAAGCGUUAUCCGGAUUUAUUGGGUUUAAAGGGUGCGUAGGCUGUGAGGUAAGUCAGCGGUGAAAUGCCCCCGCUCAACGGGGUGAAGUGCCAUUGAUACUGCCUUGCUGGAAUGCGGAUGCCGUGGGAGGAAUGUGUGGUGUAGCGGUGAAAUGCAUAGAUAUAAGGAAGAACACCAGUGGCGAAGGCGGAUUACUGGACGAUAACUGACGGUGAGGCGCGAAAGCGUGGGGAGCAAACAGGAUUAGAUACCCCUGUAGUC